UUUUUUUUUUUUUUGAGAUUAGUUUGGAGUCCAAAUCCAUUUUAACCAACUGAAAAGCAGUGGUGCAAGACACUGAGAAUGAAGUUAUACAUUUAGUUUCAUGGCAUGGCAUAGGCAUAGUGGAGUGGGUACCGGUUACACUGAGCAGUGACUAAUGGCAAACAUAUCCUCUUCACUCCCAAUCUCCAUAGCUACCUGCAACAGGGCUUCACCAGUCUCCUAGAAAAGCAAAAUAAAUAGAUAUGAAACAUUUGGCCAUAACGAUGGUAAUUUUUGCGUGCUUCGUGACACUUACUAUGGGAUUAGAGGCACCAAAAGCUCGGAUUCCUAGCAGCAGAAUGUCAGUGGAAAAUGACAGCCCAAAGGAAUCAUUUUACGACUAUGGCGACGAUGCCCUGCCACCACAAGAUCUUGUUACUAGUUACUCCACAGCUGAUUCCGACUCCAACAGUAUAUAUUUGCCAGCUUCACAACUUGCUGGCGAAGGCAGCUAUGACAACUUCAAAGGAAGACCAGAGAAAAGCAUCCCUGCUUUGGUAAAUAAUGACUUGAGUGUCGUUUCUUCCGAUUUGGAAGGGGGAAAUGAAGCGAGAGGUACUUUAGACAAUUUGUUGAAGAUGGAUUUUGUGAUUAAACAGACACAAAACAACAUAGAUGUUACUAAAAGAAUUGAGCGCAUCCUGAGAGAACGCUUGAGAAACAUCGAAAGACUGAGGGGCGCCUUUCUUAAUCGCAGCUUAAAUGGGCACGGAAGAUUUGUACGAAAACGCUACACACAUUGCCCGCCCUUCGGCGGUUGUUUUCACAUAAAACUACAACCAUUCGACAAUCCUGGUUCCAAGGGUCCCAAAAUCCGCUAUGGUUAAAGAUUUGAAUUCUAAGUUAAGGCCGUAUGACUGACAUUCUGUACAGCCAAAACCAUGAUGCAUGCAUUAUUUAUUUCUGAUCUUGCUCCAAAGACAGUGGAAUAAAAUGUUCUGUAUCACUUUGUUAGGUUACUGCUUGGAUACUUUUGUUUAUGUAAAUAGCUUUCUCUUGAAUCUGCCUUGCCGCUCAUGUCAGAGCACAUGUUAGGCCAAGCAGUGGUUGGUGGCAUUUAUGAAAGUAAUAUCAACCUGUUCGCAAAU